rnacentral:rRNA from 1 species
GACGAACGCUGGCGGCGUGCCUAAUACAUGCAAGUAGAACGCUGAAGAGAGGAGCUUGCUCUUCUUGGAUGAGUUGCGAACGGGUGAGUAACGCGUAGGUAACCUGCCUGGUAGCGGGGGAUAACUAUUGGAAACGAUAGCUAAUACCGCAUAAAAUUGAUUAUUGCAUGAUAAUUAAUUGAAAGAUGCAAUUGCAUCACUAGCAGAUGGACCUGCGCUGUAUUAGCUAGUUGGUGAGGUAACGGCUCACCAAGGCGACGAUACAUAGCCGACCUGAGAGGGUGAUCGGCCACACUGGGACUGAGACACGGCCCAGACUCCUACGGGAGGCAGCAGUAGGGAAUCUUCGGCAAUGGGGGGAACCCUGACCGAGCAACGCCGCGUGAGUGAAGAAGGUUUUCGGAUCGUAAAGCUCUGUUGUAAGAGAAGAAACGGGUGUGAAGAGUGGAAAAGUUCAC